rnacentral:rRNA from 1 species
GACGAACGCUGGCGGCGUGCCUAAUACAUGCAAGUAGAACGCAGUUGCGAACGGGUGAGUAACGCGUAGGUAACUGCCGCAUAGCGGGGGGUAACUAUUUGAAACGAUAGCUAAUUACGCAUCCUGUGAGAUGGACCUGCGUGGUAUUAGCUAGUUGGUGAGGUAAAGGCUCACCAAGGCGACGAUCCAUAGCCGACCUGAGAGGGUUAUCGGACCACGUGGCACUGAGACCACGCCCAGACGCCCACGGGAGGGACCAGUAGGGAAACUUCGUCAAUGGACGGAAGUCUUACCGAGCAACUCCGCGGGAUGUAAGAAGGUUUUCGGAUUGUAAAGCUCGGUUGUUAGAGAAGCGGUAACUAACCAGAAAGGGACGGCUAACUACGUGCCAGCAGCCGCGGUAAUUC